GGGCCCGCACAAGCGGUGGAGCAUGUGGUUUAAUUCGACGCAACGCGAAGAACCUUACCUGGGCUUGACAUCCCGAUCGUACCUUUUGGAAACAUUAGGGUCAGCUUGGCUGGAUCGGUGACAGGUGCUGCAUGGCUGUCGUCAGCUCGUGUCGUGAGAUGUUGGUUAAGUCCCGCAACGAGCGCAACCCACAUCCUUAGUUGCCAGCAGUUCGGCUGGGCACUCUAAGGAAACUGCCCGUGAUAAGCGGGAGGAAGGUGUGGAUGACGUCAAGUCCUCAUGGCCCUUACGGGUUGGGCUACACACGUGCUACAAUGGUGCCUACAGUGGGUUAA
rnacentral:rRNA from 1 species